rnacentral:rRNA from 1 species
UCCUUUGAUUUUGGGGAAAAUAAAAAUAAUUCACUCUGAUAAUACAUGCUAGUAAAUGCUAAAGGCGAGAAAAAAAGGAAAUUAUUCCUUGUUGUAUUAGGAAUUUUAGAUUAAACACUACAAUGCCUAUAAUGCGUAGCAAACGCCGCAACUGUACUGAAACAAGGACGGAGCAUGAAAAUGGCAGCAGUAGAGAAAUUUGUACAAUUUACUAUUAGUUAGAUACAGCAAGUGAAAUUAAUCCUGUCAAAUUACGUGCCAGCCGACGCGGUAAAACGUAAAUGGAUAAAUUUAUAUUUUAAUACUAAUAUUUUUACCAUAAAAUUCUGAUAGAAUAAACAUGUAAGAGUAAAAUCUUAACAUAUGAUUUAAAUCUUAAGAGCUAAAGCAAUUAGAUAAAAUUACAAAAUAUUAAGGCUUGGGGAGUAAACUGGAUUAGAUACCCAGGUAAUCCAAGCAGUAAAUAGUGAUAUAAUAUCACAAUAUCGAACAGUAGGACCGCAAGGUUGAAAAUCAAAAAAUUUGGCUGUUUACCAUCCGCUUAGAGGAGCGUGAGAAUUAAUACGAUAAUCCGCGUUUAUCACACCCAUUUUUGAAUACUACAGGUACUGCAUGGCCGUCGUCAGUUUAUAAUUAAAUUUAUAAACACAACUCAUUAGAAUGAAGUCAGGUAGUAUGGUCCUUAUAAAUGGGGUCCCCUUGCGCUACAAUCUUUAUUACACUCAUUCUAAAACUUAUAUAUCAGUAAAGUGUUGAAAUACACUUGGAAGGAGUAUUUAAGAGUAAUCGAAAAAUAGCAUGUUUCGGUGAACAGGUCUCUGGUAUUAGCACAAAUCGCCCGUCACCUUAGCUUAUAAUAAUAUGUUAAACAACUAUACAGUUAAUAACAGUUUAAAAGGCAGAGCAAGUCGUAACAUAGUGAGGGUAGGGGAACCUGUCCUUGAGAAUUU